GACGAACGCUGGCGGCGUGCUUAACACAUGCAAGUCGAACGAUGAACCCGGAGCUUGCUCCGGUGGAUUAGUGGCGAACGGGUGAGUAACACGUGGGCAACCUGCCCCUCACUUCGGGAUAACUCCGGGAAACCGGGGCUAAUACCGGAUAUGACCUCCUUGGGCAUCCUUGGAGGUGGAAAGUUUUUCGGUGAGGGAUGGGCCGGCGGCCUAUCAGCUUGUUGGUGAGGUAGUGGCUCACCAAGGCGACGACGGGUAGCCGGCCUGAGAGGGCGACCGGCCACACUGGGACUGAGACACGGCCCAGACUGCGACGGGAGGCAGCAGUGGGGAAUAGUGCGCAAUGGGCGAAAGCCUGACGCAGCAACGCCGCGUGAGGGAUGACGGCCUUCGGGUUGUAAACCUCUUUUAGUAGGGAAGAAGCGAAAGUGACGGUACCUGCAGAAAAAGCACCGGCUAACUACGUGCAGCAGCCGCAGUAA
rnacentral:rRNA from 1 species